rnacentral:rRNA from 1 species
GUAGGUGGCAAGCGUUGUCCGGAAUUAUUGGGCGUAAAGCGCGCGCAGGCGGUUCUUUAAGUCUGAUGUGAAAGCCCACGGGCUCAACCGUGAGGGUCAUUGGAAACUGGAGAACUUGAGUACAGAAGAGGAAAGCGGAAUUCCACGUGUAGCGGUGAAAUGCGUAGAGAUGUGGAGGAACACCAGUGGCGAAGGCGGCUUUCUGGUCUGUAACUGACGCUGAGGCGCGAAAGCGUGGGGAGCAAACAGGAUUAGAUACCCUGGUAGUCCACGCCGUAAACGAUGAGUGCUAAGUGUUAGGGGGUUUCCGCCCCUUAGUGCUGCGGCUAACGCAUUAAGCACUCCGCCUGGGGAGUACGGCCGCAAAGGCUG